rnacentral:rRNA from 1 species
AUGGCGCAUGCAGGAGGGCCCCUCGCUCUUUUAAAUAUGAAAUCGCCUGGGAGCGCGAUCCGGGGCUGCAGCCCGUGGUCCAGGGUGCAUGGGCGAAUGGAGCGGGAGAUUCUGUUCUCUCAAUCAGCGACAAGCUCCAAUGCACUGAAGCCCAAUGAUCUGGGGAGGGCAAACGCUUCGGGACUAGGCCACACUGGCCAACGUCGGCCAAAGAGGCCACCAGCGGGUAGUUGCAAAAUUCACGUGGAUGCUGGAGUAGUGACAAGAAGAGGAGGAUCAGCAGCGGCUGUAUGUAGGGAUGAGUGGGGAAACUUUAUGGGCAGCUUCGCUUUGGUUAUUGAAGGGGUGGUAGACUCGGCCACCCUUGAGGCAGUGGCAUGUCGGGAAGCACUGUCCUUGGCUGAAGAUUUGGGCAUCGCGAGCUUUGUUGUGGCAUCGGACUGCAGCCAAGUUGUAUCGGAUAUCAACAGGAGAUCACACGGGAUUUACGGAGCGAUUGUUGAGGAGAUAACCAUAAGAUCAUCCAAUUUUCAAUGUAAUUUUACGUUUGAGAGUCGUGCUGUGAAUUAUGAAGCACAUAGAUUAGCCAAGUUCUCACUUGCUAGAGGUCCGGGGCGCCAUGUGUGCCCGUCCAAUUCUGUCCUCAUCUCGUUCGAUCCCCCACCAGCUCUCAUCUCGUUCGAUCCCCACCAGGCUCAUCCAGAUGUGCCAUUUCCCCCGAUUAAGGAAGAUGUCGUUGGUGCCAGCAGGAAACUAAUUCCCAGCCUAUUCUCCAGCAUCCGGAUCGAGUCUGCUGGCAGGCCACGGGGAGGGCAAUGGAGAACGUGGCAUGCCGCUCAACCUCGUCAUGGCCGGCGGCUAGCUAUCAUAGCUGAGGUGCUGGAUGUUGGUAGAUCGGGGGAUGCGCUGGUGGAGCUCACGGAGAGGGCUGCACCAAUUCGUGAAUUUCCCAGAUAG